AGCAACCAGCCAAAUCGCUUUGACUUGGUUACAAUUGUUCAACACACACUUACCUUUCAUCUCACUGUGUUAGUCCCAUGUUUUUUUUUGUCUUGAGCCUGUUCUGCUUGCGGCUCUGGGUGUUGCCGUGAGAACGCUGUGGGAUAAAUCAGUCACCGGGACCCAGCAAGUAACUUGGUCUGCUGGACCCUUUAACUAGGAAUUAAAGUCAGGAGAUUGCACCAGACCCAACGGUAGCUCUUGGAUCUGACCUAAAGCAGCUCCAAUCAAUUUAAAAGGCUGAGCAGAAUGUCAAAACAAGCCUGGGGUACAAUUACUCCUGCUCCCUUCCCCCUUGGGUACCAGAGGAUACCAGUCCUGCAGAUGCAACAGGCAGUGGAGCGACUGCACAGCGGCAGAGGGCCGAGAGCGCCACGCAGUGGCUACCCGCAGCAUAUCAGGCAGGUUGAAGCAGAGUUCGCCCGAAGACACAAGUCCCUGGGGCCAGACGGCCUGAAGCAGCUUUUAGAGCGGCUGACCGACAAAGCGGCAGAGAAAGCCAGCGAUCAAUGUCGAGUGCAACAGGGGAAGCUCGGAGAUAUCGGCAUCCUCAAUUCAUAUGCAUGGAAAGGAUGGAACUAAGAUAUGGUUUGCAGAAGGAUUUAUUACUUAAAAAUCACAAUCUAUGAAUUGCUUGAAUCUAUGAAUUAAACGGCACAUAUCCCUACAGAGUGAAAUAGGGAAAUGUAUAAUUGCAAUAAAUUAGUCGAGCUAUCAAUAUUCUGCACAUUUUAAAGAAAUGUGAAAUGAAUAAAUGUAGGAUUAACAUUU